CUGCGAAGGAUCAUUUG
rnacentral:rRNA from 1 species